AAAGGAAUUGACGGGGGCCCGCACAAGCAGAGGAGUAUGUGGUUUAAUUCGAUGAUACGCGAGGAACCUUACCUGGGCUUGAACGUAUUAUGACCGGUGCCGAAAGGUACUUUCCCUUCGGGGCAUUUUACGAGGUGCUGCAUGGUUGUCGUCAGCUCGUGCCGUGAGGUGUCGGCUUAAGUGCCUUAACGAGCGCAACCCCUAUUUUUAGUUGCCAGCGAGUAAUGUCGGGGACUCUAAAGAAACUGCCUUCGUAAGAAGUGAGGAAGGUGGGGAUGACGUCAAAUCAGCACGGCCCUUACGCCCAGGGCUACACACGUACUACAAUGGCCGUUACAGAGGGCUGCUACCUGGUGACAGGAUGCUAAUCUCGAAAAGCGGUCUCAGUUCGGAUUGAAGUCUGCAACUCGACUUCAUGAAGCUGGAUUUGCUAGUAAUCGCGCAUCAGCAAUGGCGCGGUGAAUACGUUCCCGGGCCUUGUACACACCGCCCGU
rnacentral:rRNA from 1 species